rnacentral:RNase_P_RNA from 1 species
UGAGCUGACUGAGUAAUCGCUAACUUUGUUAGAGGAAAGUCCGGGCUCCAUAGGAUAAGACGCCAGGUAACUCCUGGGAGUAACAGUGUUACUACGGCUAGUGCAGCAGAAAAUAAACCGCCUUUUAAGGUAAGGGUGAAAAGGUGCGGUAAGAGCGCACCGUAUAUUUGGAAACAAAUAUAGCUAGGUAAACCCCGUCUGGAGCAAGACUAAAUAGAGAUUCNAUAAUGUUAUCCGCAUUGAAUCUGGGUAAGUUGCUAGAAAUAUAUGGCGACAUAUAUUCGAGAUGAAUGAUUACAUAAAACAGAACCCGGCUUAUGGGUCAGCUCUCUCA